GCYGCCCGCGACAUUGCGAGAAGUCCACUUGAACCUAUCAUUUAGAGGAAGGAAGAAGUCGUAACAAGGUUUCCGUAGGUGAACCUGCGGAAGGAUCAUUGUCGAAACCUGSUGAGCAGAACGACUSGCGAACACGUUGUUGCCCCUAUCUCGGCAAUGUGCAGGCCUUGUCCCAAAGCAUUGUCGAACACAACUAAUCAUCGAGCGCGGUAUGCGCCAAGGAAAAUCUAAAGAACAUAACCGUCCUUCGGGGAUGCGUUUGUUCCAUAAGUCAAAACGACUCUCGGCAACGGAUAUCUCGGCUCUCGCAUCGAUGAAGAACGUAGCGAAAUGCGAUACGUGGUGUGAAUUGCAGAAUUCCGUGAAUCAUCGAGUUUUUGAACGCAAGUUGCGCCCAAAGCCAUUUGGCUGAGGGCACGCCUGCCUGGGCGUCACGCAUCGUUGCCCUCCCUCAAUCCCAUCACUCACAAAACGGGCGAUGAGCUUGUUGGGCRGGCGUAAAUUGGCUUCCCGUUUGUCCGUCUUCCGGUUGGCCUAAAAUUGAAUUCAUUAGCUGCGACCGCCGUGGCACAUUGUGGUAUUCGAACAAAUCGUAACCCGCCACGCGCGUUUGUCAGCCUAAGGAACGGUACAAAACUCAAAUGUGUUAACCCUUUUUAGGGCGGCACACUUCAAACCCGACCCCAGGUCAGGCGGGAUUACCCGCUGAAUUUAAGCAUAUCAAUAAGCGGAGGAAAAGAAACUU
rnacentral:rRNA from 1 species